rnacentral:lncRNA from 1 species
AAAAAAGUUUCCAAAAGAAAACACUUGAUCCCAGUAUCAGAGAUCAAAAUACUAUCUAUAGCGUCAUCUGAAUAAAAAAAUGCAAGCGGUUUUAGCUCAAGUGAACUGAUGUAUUUUUAAGCUACUAUAAUUUGCAUUCAGCUGGUACCUCCUCUGUGUGACUCAUUUCUAUCAUAAUUAAAUAAACUAGCAUGACAAGACUACUGAUUCUCUCAUAGGGUUGUCCAAGACACGUGGCUCAGCUCUCCUGCCCCUGAGUACACAAUGUCUCCAUUCUUGACAACACAAUUCCCUCCGGAGGCAAAAGCCCAGAUGUUAAAUUCGUCCCACAGAUGGCAAAAGUAUGAGGAAAGGAGCAUAGGAAAGGGUUAGCAUGAGGAUAUAGUCAAUUUCUUUAUACAGCUUAAUAGAGGCUCAGAAUGCAAAUGAGUCACCUUAAGGUGGUAAUCAGAGUGAGGAUGUCUAAGAUUGGAUUGAUACAAAUGGUACCUCAGAUGACUAUGCAUCAUCUAAGGUAAAUGGCAUAAACUAUUAGAGAAUUAGAGAAUCACAGGUAAGAAAAAAGCCAUUCCAAAUUAUGUUGUACUUUACUACCUUAAUGUUCAGC